CAUAGGUUAAUGAGGCGAACCGGGGGAACUGAAACAUCUAAGUACCCCGAGGAAAAGAAAUCAACCGAGAUUCCCCCAGUAGCGGCGAGCGAACGGGGAGGAGCCCAGAGCCUGAAUCAGUGUGUGUGUUAGUGGAAGCGUCUGGAAAGGCGCGCGAUACAGGGUGACAGCCCCGUACACAAAAAUGCACAUACUGUGAGCUCGAUGAGUAGGGCGGGACACGUGGUAUCCUGUCUGAAUAUGGGGGGACCAUCCUCCAAGGCUAAAUACUCCUGACUGACCGAUAGUGAACCAGUACCGUGAGGGAAAGGCGAAAAGAACCCCGGCGAGGGGAGUGAAAAAGAACCUGAAACCGUGUACGUACAAGCAGUGGGAGCCUCUUAAUGGGGUGACUGCGUACCUUUUGUAUAAUGGGUCAGCGACUUAUAUUCUGUAGCAAGGUUAACCGAAUAGGGGAGCCGAAGGGAAACCGAGUCUUAACUGGGCGUUAAGUUGCAGGGUAUAGACCCGAAACCCGGUGAUCUAGCCAUGGGCAGGUUGAAGGUUGGGUAACACUAACUGGAGGACCGAACCGACUAAUGUUGAAAAAUUAGCGGAUGACUUGUGGCUGGGGGUGAAAGGCCAAUCAAACCGGGAGAUAGCUGGUUCUCCCCGAAAGCUAUUUAGGUAGCGCCUCGUGAAUUCAUCUCCGGGGGUAGAGCACUGUUUCGGCAAGGGGGUCAUCCCGACUUACCAACCCGAUGCAAACUGCGAAUACCGGAGAAUGUUAUCACGGGAGACACACGGCGGGUGCUAACGUCCGUCGUGAAGAGGGAAACAACCCAGACCGCCAGCUAAGGUCCCAAAGUCAUGGUUAAGUGGGAAACGAUGUGGGAAGGCCCAGACAGCCAGGAUGUUGGCUUAGAAGCAGCCAUCAUUUAAAGAAAGCGUAAUAGCUCACUGGUCGAGUCGGCCUGCGCGGAAGAUGUAACGGGGCUAAACCAU
rnacentral:rRNA from 1 species